rnacentral:rRNA from 1 species
CACUGACAUUAGAUACCCGGUAGUCCACGGGUGUAAACGCUGCAGACUUGGUGUUGGAAGUCCUUGGGGCAUUCAGUGCCGGAGAGAAGUUGUUAAGUCUGCUACUUGGGAGUACGUCCGCAAGGAUGAAACUUAAAGGAAUUGGCGGGGAGCACCACAACGGGUGGAGCCUGCGGUUUAAUUGGACUCAACGCCGGAAAUCUCACCGGAUAGGACAGACAUAUGAUAGUCGGGCUGAAGACUCUACUUGAUGAUCUG